rnacentral:rRNA from 1 species
AGUGAACGCUGGCGGUAGGCCUAACACAUGCAAGUCGAACGGCAGCACAGUAAGAGCUUGCUCUUACGGGUGGCGAGUGGCGGACGGGUGAGGAAUACAUCGGAAUCUACUUUUUCGUGGGGGAUAACGUAGGGAAACUUACGCUAAUACCGCAUACGACCUACUGGUGAAAGCAGGGGAUCUUCGGACCUUGCGCGAUUGAAUGAGCCGAUGUCGGACUAGCUAGUUGGCGGGGUAAAGGCCCACCAAGGCGACGAUCCGUAGCUGGUCUGAGAGGAUGAUCAGCCACACUGGAACUGAGACACGGUCCAGACUCCUACGGGAGGCAGCAGUGGGGAAUAUUGGACAAUGGGCGCAAGCCUGAUCCAGCCAUACCGCGUGGGUGAAGAAGGCCUUCGGGUUGUAAAGCCCUUUUGUUGGGAAAGAAAGGCAGCAGGUUAAUACCCCGCUGUUCUGACGGUACCAAAAGAAUAAGCACCGGCUAACUUCGUG